rnacentral:tRNA from 3 species
GGAGGGGUGGCCGAGUGGUUUAAGGCAGCGGUCUUGAAAACCGCCGUGGGAGCAAUCUCACCGUGGGUUCGAAUCCCACCCCCUCCGCCA